GCGGGAAGCACCGUAGAAAAAGGGACUUAAAAUCCCUCGAUCUCUGAUCGUACGGGUUCGAUUCCCGUCGUCCGCACCA
rnacentral:tRNA from 1 species